CUUUGAUUUCCUAAACUAGAAAAAUACAGGGACCAAAGGCAAUUUUCUGUAAAUUAAAAGGAUAAUAGAAUUUGUUCAAUAUAAUAUAUUACAUGCUUUGAAAUUUGUGAUCAUUUCAGUCAACGACUUCAUACUUCCCCAGUUGUACAAAUAUAGAAAAUUAGGAGCUCAAAACACAGUCUCAUAAAAUGAAGCUCAAUGGUCUUACUUUCUUCUUGGUUGUUCUCUUUGCAUUUAUUCUCUUUUCUGCUGCAGGAAGAACCCAUCCCACCACCCUUCAACCCCAAACUCCUAAACAAAAAGCUAUUGAAUCAGAAAAAGUGGUUGAAUCAGAUGGCGGACCAAGCACGUGGGGCGGGUGUUGGGGAUGCUGGAAAAACCAUGACCGGCGUCAUCUCCGCUAGGAAUAUCUAAUGAUGAUGGGAAUAUGCAUCUUUUGUUGAUCCAUGUAUGAAUAACCAAUCGGGCGUUUGGUCUGAUUUUCUGCUUUAUGUAAACAACAGAAACGUUAGACAGUGGGUUUGUUUUUAAUAAUUGUCGAUUUCUUUUUUAUAUAUCUCGACUUUGGUGUUUGGAAUUGUUGUCAAAUGUAUUACUAUAUUUUUAUUAUUACCAUAUGUUUUCGUUAAA